UACGUAGGUGGCAAGCGUUGUCCGGAAUUAUUGGGCGUAAAGCGCGCGCAGGCGGUCCUUUAAGUCUGAUGUGAAAGCCCACGGCUCAACCGUGGAGGGUCAUUGGAAACUGGGGGACUUGAGUGCAGGAGAGAAAAGUGGAAUUCCCGGUGUAGAGGUGAAAUUCGUAGAUAUCGGGAGGAACACCAGUGGCGAAGGCGGCGAUCUGGGAAGAUACUGACGCUGAGGUGCGAAAGCGUGGGGAGCAAACAGG
rnacentral:rRNA from 1 species